UGGGGAAUAUUGCACAAUGGGCGCAAGCCUGAUGCAGCCAUGCCGCGUGUAUGAAGAAGGCCUUCGGGUUGUAAAGUACUUUCAGCGAGGAGGAAGGCGUUGUGGUUAAUAACCGCAACGAUUGACGUUACUCGCAGAAGAAGCACCGGCUAACUCCGUGCCAGCAGCAGCGGUAAUACGGAGGGUGCAAGCGUUAAUCGGAAUUACUGGGCGUAAAGCGCACGCAGGCGGUCUGUCAAGUCGGAUGUGAAAUCCCCGGGCUCAACCUGGGAACUGCAUCCGAAACUGGCAGGCUAGAGUCUUGUAGAGGGGGGUAGAAUUCCAGGUGUAGCGGUGAAAUGCGUAGAGAUCUGGAGGAAUACCGGUGGCGAAGGCGGCCCCCUGGACAAAGACUGACGCUCAGGUGCGAAAGCGUGGGGAGCAAACA
rnacentral:rRNA from 1 species